rnacentral:tRNA from 2 species
GGUAUUAUAGUUUAUAAAAAAAUAUUAAAUUGCAAAUUUAAAGAAAGAAUAUUCUUAAUACUU